UCGAGACAGCUCCUCCGCUGCGUCGGAGCAAGAGCUUGGGUGCCUUUACAAGGACGCCUGUACACCCUCCCCUCCUUUCCACUGAUUUAGCGGCGGAGAUGCCGGGCUCUCUGAAGGUACAGACCGGCAGGAGCGAUGCUCGAAAGACUGUAAAGAAGACGGUGCCUUCGAAAGGCAAUAUCGCACGCAGUGAUGAGCCCGCGGGGGCCGCCCACUCUGCGGCCUCUGCGUCUGUGGCCACGAGCAGCGCUACCACUGCGUCAACCCUGACGAAUGCAGUGGCGCUUAGCACGUCUGAGCAAGAGCGGCCAGUAGAGGCGGUCAAGGCGACUAUUCCCGCAUCCGCAAGUCGAGAGGUGCUUCGCAAGGAUCCGAUCUACCGUAUCAUGCAUAUCCUUCCUCGCUCUGAUGUACUGGAGGUGGUGCGCAGCCGUUUUGAAAAGCCGCACUGCGAGCGCGCCGCGGCGUAUUUUGACCUCUCCUACAUGAAAAAUCCGCUGCGGCAUCUACGCCUGCAGCUUGGGUGUGACGGCCCUACAGGGAUUUACUUGUUCUUCCGUCGCAUCGCCGCACAUCGCCACACUCUGCGCGUGGUGGACUUUUCACGAAAUAGGCUGAGCGCCGACGAUGCCGUUCUACUCUGUAACACCCUGGGGCUUGGGGUCGCCGGAGACGCAGCAACCGCACCGGGUAUCACGAAAGCGUCUUCUCCAGGCGCUGCAGCUGAUUCGACAGUUUCGACGGCAGCGGGGGCCUCCGCGCAAUCGUCUUCCUCGCUCGAGCUUUUGGACCUCAGCUACAACGCGAAACUCGGCAAUGACGGCGCCGUGCACGUCGUGGCAGCAGUGCGGCGCCUUCCGUCAAUACGGGCAGUGAUCCUAAAGAGUGUAGGCAUCGAUGAUGAUGGCGCGAUCGCCGUGGCGGAUGUUGUACGCUGCUGGCCGGCGCCAGCGGUUUGCGCGAGCUCAGCUACCCCACACGCGCUGCUUCGUCCAGCCACCGCCUCUGCGACCAAAUUCUACCUGAACUUGAACGAGAACUACAUUGGCGCUCGCGGCACGGACGUGUUGGGGAAGGGCCUGCCACAUUACGUUUCACUUACCCUGGCAAAACAGCGGCCAGACCCGGCGCGUAGCCGGAAGCGCUCACGAGACGACGACGGAGCCGCGCGCCGAUGAGCGGGCGAUUCUCGAAGGCACAAGACAACCGAUGCCCAAAUGUCUGCGACAGAAACUCACGCGAUGCCCCUAAUGCUGUUUCUUGCUCUCCGGCUGCGUCUUUUUACCCUUGAUGACGAAUCGACGGCAUCAUCGGCUUAAUGUCGAGUGGGACGAUGAGGACGCGGUGUGCCGUGGCGCGUGGGCGGCAGUGGUGCUAGUGCGGAGCAUGAAGGUGGGUAGGUAUCGCGUUUCACAGCGCACUUGCCACAUGUCGGCUUUACAUGUCCUCGCUCUAGUCUCACGCAUCUGUGGUUACGUAUGGUUUGCAGAUUUGCGCUGACCGACCUUGCCUGCGUGUUGGCGCGGGGUGGUUCACAUGUGUGCCACAGGGGCGUAAUCUCCAUAUCAGGUGCUUUUGCUGUGAUUCUUAAAGGUGGCAACACACGCAUGC
rnacentral:misc_RNA from 1 species